CAGCAGCCGCGGGAAAACGGAGGGUGCAAGCGUUGUCCGGAUUUAUUGGGUUUAAAGGGUGCGUAGGCGGCUAUUUAAGUCAGCGGUGAAAGACUCCGGCUCAACCGGAGCAGUGCCAUUGAUACUGGAUAGCUUGAGUGUUGGAGGGGUACAUGGAAAUGAUGGUGUAGCGGUGAAAUGCAUAGAUACCAUCAGGAACACCGAUAGCGAAGGCAUUGUACUGGCCAACAACUGACGCUGAGGCACGAAAGCAUGGGGAGCGAACAGGAUUAGAUACCCCAGUAGUCCCUGUCUCUUAUAC
rnacentral:rRNA from 1 species